AUUGAACGCUGGCGGCAGGCCUAACACAUGCAAGUCGAACGAGUGGCGGACGGGUGAGUAAUGUCUGGGAAACUGCCCGAUGGUGGGGGAUAACUACUGGAAACGGUAGCUAAUACCGCAUACCAUCGGAUGUGCCCACAUGGGAUUAGCUAGUAGGUGGGGUAAUGGCUCACCUAGGCGACGAUCCCGAGCUGGUCUGAGAGGAUGACCAGCCACACUGGAACGGAGACACGGGCAAGACUCCUACGGGAGGCAGCAGUGGGGAAUAUUGCACAAUGGGCGCAAGACUGAUGCAGCCAUGCCGAGUGUAUGAAGAAGGCCUUCGGGUUGUAAAGGACUUUCAGCGGUGAGGCGUUACCCGCAGAAGAAGCACCGGCUAACUCCGUGCCAGCAGCCGCGGUAAUUC
rnacentral:rRNA from 1 species